ensembl:lncRNA
ACUUAACAUUCUAAAAAAUAAGGAAGUACUAUCUGAAAGUCCUUUCAAAACAUUUUGCUUCAAAUGAAAAUGAUGAAGACUUUGAGAUUGGGAGUUAUUAUUUUCCUUUGUAAGGUAUUUUUGUAUGGAUUUGGGGAGGAGUCUCCAUGUACACCUGGCUUAGAGUCGGAAUUGCUGGUUUUUAAAGUGUGCAGAGAUUACCUUUACAAGGGAAAAACACUAGGAAGAGGUAAGCUAUAUUCAAAUAUCUCUAGCAAAUUAAUGUUGAGAGCUUUUGUUUAAAUAUUUUUUAGUAUUUGGCAGAAUGAUCUCUACAUACACCAAUUCUUCUAUUUAAAAAAAAAUGUUUAACUAACUAUUACAUUCAAUCAAAUUGUAUACAUGCACUGUAUCUACUAGAUUUGCUGUCAUCAUUGUUCAAUUGUCUCACUCAAGUGUAAGUGUUGUAGCUCAUAAAUAAAUGUUAUUAAAUGAUAUAUGCCACUGAUGCUGUGUCAGUAACUUGUGCUAUGCAAGCAUCCUCCAGGUGUUAUUAUUGUCUUAAGACUGUUCAUUCAUUUGAUAUCACCAAUGCAUUGGUUAAUGCUGCUAGAGCCACCCCCUGAGGCAUUACAUCACCCAUAUCUCAAAAGGACAUAACAUCGCUCCUCUGAUGUUUCAUAUGCAUGAAGCAAUUUAACUGCCCCUUGUGUUGUUAGAAUUUCAAGCAACUCGCAGUGAGAGUUAUCUUUCCACAUAACUUUGAGCCACAACUGAGAGACAUUUGUGGUUGAACCUCAGAGAUCCUGGAGCAGGGCCGGACUGGGACACAAUUUCAGGCCGGGAAAUCUCACACUCAUCCAGGCCACACAGAGAAAAAAAGGGUCAAAAUCGUACCUUUUGAGGCACAACAGGUUGACACCGUAGCAGUACACCGUACAUAUUAGUACCUUAAGACAAACAUGUCAUUCCAGUGACAAGCUGUUGUACCCCCAAAGGUGCAAAUUUGGUCCCUUAAUUCCUGUAUAUAGCCUAUACGUCCACAACAAUUUCUGAAACCUGACAACCCUAUUAUUUGUAUGCCAUCACAUAAAAAAGGUCUAAAUCCUUAGUCUGGGGCCGUGAAAAAUAAUUAAAAGUUCUCUCUUGCACUGCACCUUCACUUCCAUUUCCCUUUUCUUCAUUUACCCCAAUGUCUCUGUCUCUUCUGCUCGCCUGCAUUUAUUUGAUACAAAGUACAGCAAGAGCAGUGAUGUUGUGAAAUAUUUUUACUAUUUAAAACAAAUGCUUUCGAUUGGAAUAUAUAUUUAAUAUGUAAUUUAUUUCUGUGAUGCGCAGUUGAAUUUUCAGCAUCAUUACUGCAGACUUCAUUGUCACAUGAUCCUUCAGAAAUCAUUCUAAUAUGCUAAUUUGCUGUUCAAGAAACAUAUUUGUUGUUAUUAUUAUUAUAAAUAUUUAAAGGGGUCAUAUGAUGCUGCUAAAAAGAACAUUAUUUUGUGUAUUUGGUGUAAUGCAAUGUGUUUAUGCGGUUUAAGGUUCAAAAAACACAUUUUCCAUUUAAUGUACAUUAUUGUUGCUCCUCAUUCCCCUGCCUUUCUGAAAUGCAUCGAUUUUUUCAAAGGUCAUCGUUCUGAAAAAGCGAGGUGUGCUCUGACUGGCCAGCUAUCAGUCCCAUCAUCAGUUCUCUUUUAGCAUUGCUAAUUAUUUAAAUGCAAAUGCAAAAAAAAAAAAAUACAGAUGCAAAUUAUUUAAAUACAUACCCGAUUCCAAAAAGUUGAGACACUGUACAAAUUGUGAAUAAAAACAGAAUGCAAUGAUGUGGAAGUUUCAAAUUUCUAUAUUUUAUUCAGAAUACAACAUAGAUGACAUAUGAAAUGUUUAAACUGAGAAAAUGUAUAAUUUUAAGGGGAAAAAAAGUUGAUUUUAAUUUUCAUGGCAUCAACACAUCUCAAAAAAGUUGGGACAAGGCCAUGUUUACCACUGUGUGGCAUCCCCUCUUCUUUUUAUAACAGUCUGCAAACGUCUGGGGACUGAGGAGACAAGUUGCUCAAGUUUAGGAAUAGGAAUGUUGUCCCAUUCUUAUCUAAUACAGGCUUCUAGUUGCUCAACUGUCUUACGUCUUCUUUGUCGCAUCUUCCUCUAUGAUGCACAAAAUGUUUUCUAUGGGUGAAAAAUCUGGACUGCAGGCUGGCCAUUUCAGUACCCGGAUCCUUCUUCUACGCAACCAUGAUGUUGUAAUUGAUGCAGUAUGUGGUCUGGCAUUGUCAUGUUGGAAAAUGCAAGGUCUUCCCUGACAGAGACGACGUCUGGAUGGGAGUAUAUGUUGUUCUAGAACUUGGAUAUACCUUUCAGCAUUGAUGGUGCCUUUCCAGAUGUGUAAGCUGCCCAUGCCACACGCACUCAUGCAACCCCAUACCAUCAGAGAUGCAGGCUUCUGAACUAAGCGCUGAUAACAACUUGGGUUGU